AGUCAUUGUUACAAUUAAGGAUGGAGCUCUUAGCUUUCAUUUCCUAGUGUGUUGUGCAGCUUCUCUCGUGGCAGCAAAAUGGCCACAGAGGUUUGGUUCCAGGCCUUUCGUGUGUUUACACCUUACAGUCCAGCAGAAGAAAGAGCUCCUCUUCUGAAAACCUUGAAAGCUCUUGAAUCUUAUGUCUAAUCCCCCAACAAAUCAC
rnacentral:lncRNA from 1 species